AGGCGCAAAAACCCAAUGUAGGAGGCGGGCUGGACCUCUCGGGGUUACAGCCUUGCUGAAUUAUUCACCCUUGUCUUUUGCGUACUUCUUGUUUCCUUGGUGGGUUCGCCCACCACUAGGACAAACAUAAACCUUUUGUAAUUGCAAUCAGCGUCAGUAACAAAUUAAUAAUUACAACUUUCAACAACGGAUCUCUUGGUUCUGGCAUCGAUGAAGAACGCAGCGAAAUGCGAUAAGUAGUGUGAAUUGCAGAAUUCAGUGAAUCAUCGAAUCUUUGAACGCACAUUGCGCCCUUUGGUAUUCCAAAGGGCAUGCCUGUUCGAGCGUCAUUUGUACCCUCAAGCUUUGCUUGGUGUUGGGCGUCUUGUCUCUAGCUUUGCUGGAGACUCGCCUUAAAGUAAUUGGCAGCCGGCCUACUGGUUUCGGAGCGCAGCACAAGUCGCACUCUCUAUCAGCAAAGGUCUAGCAUCCAUUAAGCCUUUUUUUCAACUUUUGACCUCGGAUCAGGUAGGGAUACCCGCUGAACUUAAGCAUAUCAAUAAGCGGAGAGAAA
rnacentral:rRNA from 1 species